rnacentral:rRNA from 1 species
UACGUAGGGUACAAGCGUUGUCCGGAAUUAUUGGGCGUAAAGAGCUCGUAGGCGGUUUGUCACGUCUGCUGUGAAAACUCGGGGCUCAACCUUGGGCUUGCAGUGGGUACGGGCAGACUAGAGUGCGGUAGGGGUGACUGGAAUUCCUGGUGUAGCGGUGAAAUGCGCAGAUAUCAGGAGGAACACCGAUGGCGAAGGCAGGUCUCUGGGCCACUACUGACGCUGAGAAGCGAAAGCGUGGGGAGCGAACAGG